UUGAUAUUCCAGUACCACUACCAUCGUUAUUAUCGAUGGCGUGACGCAGGAGGAUAGUGUGUGCUAGCUAUUGGAUGCUAGUCUAAGCGUUUAGGCAGUGAGAGUAGGCAAAUCCGCUCUCAUAAUGCUGAGGCGUGAUGGGGAAGGUUCUACGGAACCGAAGUACAUGAUUCCACGCUGCCAAGAAAAGCGUCUAGAGAGAGAAGUAGUGCCC
rnacentral:rRNA from 1 species